AACGCAUAUUGCGCCCUCUAGUAUUCUAGGAGGCAUGCCUGUUCGAGCGUCAUUUCAACCCUCAGGCCUGGCCUGGUGUUGGGGUCUUGCGUCUGCAAGCCCUGAAAUAUAGCGGCGGUCCUUCUGUGAAGCCCUGCGUAGUAAUACCUCUCGCUUGUCUCUCCAGAAGGCCCAGCCUCUAAUUUUAACUCCGGUUGACCUCGGAUCAGGUAGGAAUACCCGCUGAACUUAA
rnacentral:misc_RNA from 1 species